CGCCUGUUUUACAAAAACAUGGCUUUUUGGGGAAGUAUAUAAGGUCGGGCCUGCCCGGUGAAGUUUAAUUUUUAACGGCCGCAGUAUUUUGACUGUGCAAAGGUAGCAUAAUCAUUAGUUUUUUAAUUGGAAGCUAGCAUGAAAGGUUUAAUGAGAAAAUUGCUGUCUCAAAUUUAAUUUUUGAAAUUUAUUUUUAAGUAAAAAAGCUUAAAUUUUUUAAAAAGACGAGAAGACCCUAUAGAGUUUUAUAUUUUUAUAUAAAUUUAGAAUUAGGAUAAUUUAUUAUUUGUUGAAGAAGUAUUUGGUUGGGGUGAUUGGAAAAUUUAAUUAACUUUUUCUAUUUUAAUAUAUUUAUUUGUAUACUAUUUGAUCCUUUUUUUGAGAUUGUAAGUUUUAAAUUACCUUAGGGAUAACAGCGUAAUUUUUUCUAAGAGUUCUUAUCGAAGAAAGAGUUUGCGACCNCGAUGUUGGGAUUAAAA
rnacentral:rRNA from 1 species